rnacentral:rRNA from 1 species
CGUAGGAUGCAAGCGUUGUCCGGAAUUAUUGGGCGUAAAGAGCGAGCAGGCGGUUUGGAAAGUUGGACGUGAAAUUUUAGGGCUUAACCCUAAAGGGUCGUCCAAAACUCCCAGACUAGAGUGCAGGAGAGGAAAGCGGAAUUCCCGGUGUAGUGGUGAAAUGCGUAGAUAUCGGGAGGAACACCAGAGGCGAAGGCGGCUUUCUGGCCUGUAACUGACGCUGAGGCGCGAAGGCUGGGGUAGCGAACAGGAUUAGAUACCCUGGUAGUCCCAGCAGUAAACGAUGGACACUAGGUGUGCGGGGAAAUUGACCCCCUGCGUGCCAGAGCAAACGCAAUAAGUGUCCCGCCUGGGGAGUACGGUCGCAAGAUUA